AUUGAACGCUGGCGGCAUGCCUUACACAUGCAAGUCGAACGGCAGCACGGACUUCGGUCUGGUGGCGAGUGGCGAACGGGUGAGUAAUAUAUCGGAACAUACCUUGUAGUGGGGGAUAACUAUCCGAAAGGAUAGCUAAUACCGCAUACGCUCUAAGGAGGAAAGUGGGGGAUCGCAAGACCUCAUGCUAUAAGAGUGGCCGAUAUCUGAUUAGCUAGUUGGGGAGGUAAAGGCUCACCAAGGCGACGAUCAGUAGCUGGUCUGAGAGGACGAACAGCCACACUGGAACUGAAACACGGUCCAGACUCCUACGGGAGGCAGCAGUGGGGAAUUUUGGACAAUGGGGGCAACCCUGAUCCAGCAAUGCCGCGUGAGUGAAGAAGGCCUUCGGGUUGUAAAGCUCUUUUGUCAGGGAAGAAACGGUUGUGGCUAAUAUCCAUGGCUAAUGACGGUACCUGAAGAAUAAGCACCGGCUAACUACGUGCCAGCCGCCGCCGUAA
rnacentral:rRNA from 1 species